rnacentral:lncRNA from 1 species
CAAAAGUCAUAAUAAUAUAUCCAUACAUAAAGACUCCCAGAGACAUAGAAUAAUUACUAUGUUUUGAGCAAUUACUAUGUUCCAGUUAUUAUACAAUGUACUUUACUUGCUUUAUCUUUAAUCCCUGCAAAAACCUUGGGAGGGAGAUAUUAUCCCAGUUUGCAAAUGAGAAAAUAGAAAUGAAGUGGCCAACCCAAGACUAUGAGAGUUAAUGUCAGAGCUGGAAUGGCAAAUUCCUUGUUUGUGAGGGGCCAUGGAAUAGAAUUUGGGAAUCCUGAUUUAAUAAAGGGCUCCUUUAAUAUCUAGCCUGGGAUUAGUUAGAAGGAGGUUAGUUCUAUCUGUCCAGCUCAUUACCCUAAGAAAUUUCAGAAGUUGGGGCUGACUCUGAAUUGCUAUACCCGAACCCACUGGAGGCAUAAACCUAGGGUUUAGAGUGGGUUCAUUAAAAUUAUUUUUUUCAUUAUUUCAUAUGCCUACAAAUCCAUGUGUAUGUGUGGCAAAUUGCUAACAGAUCAUGAAAAUUAAGAAGUGUUUUUCUUCGGGCUGGGGUGAUAGCUCAGUUUGGAGUCACCCACCCUACAGCUAACUUGUGAUUGUGUGUGUCUGUGAAAAAUAUGGGAUAGCUUGGCACGUUGGUGCACACCUGUAAUCCCAGCAGCUCAAGAGGCUGAGACAGGAGGAUCACGAGUUCAAAGCCAGCUUCAGCAAAAAAAGCAAGGUGUUAAGCAACUCAGUGAGACCCUGUCUCUAAAAAAAAUACAAAAUAGG